rnacentral:rRNA from 1 species
UACGGAGGGUGCAAGCGUUAUCCGGAUUCACUGGGUUUAAAGGGUGCGUAGGUGGGUUGGUAAGUCAGUGGUGAAAUCUCCAAGCUUAACUUGGAAACUGCCGUUGAUACUAUCUGUCUUGAAUAUUGUGGAGGUGAGCGGAAUAUGUCAUGUAGCGGUGAAAUGCUUAGAUAUGACAUAGAACACCAAUUGCGAAGGCAGCUCGCUACACAUAUAUUGACUCUGAGGCACGAAAGCGUGGGGAUCAAACAGG